UUGAGUAUGGUGAAGGAUUAGGUC
rnacentral:siRNA from 1 species